rnacentral:rRNA from 1 species
UAGCGUAUAUUAAAGUUGUUGCGGUUAAAAAGCUCGUAGUUGGAUUUCUGUGGAAAACGACCGGUCCACCUUUUGGGUGAGUAUCUGGAUUGGUUUCUGCAUCCUCUCGAAACACGUUUCUGCGCUUGAUUGCGUGGUGCGGGGUUCGAGACUUUUACUUUGAGGAAAUUAGAGUGUUCACGGCAGGCAAUCGCCUUGAAUAUAUUAGCAUGGAAUAAUAUCAUAGGAUCUUGGUUCUAUUUUGUUGGUUUCUAGAGCUAAGAUAAUGAUUAAUAGGGACAGUUGGGGGCAUUCGUAUUAUGAGGUC